UGAAAUGCCUAGAAGAGAAAAAGUAGUUUUCCAAACAUUCAAUAGAGAGUUUGCGCUUGGUGGAAGCAAACGUUUGAGGGAAAUGAACACACAUCUCUGAGCAAGCCUACCGAAAAGAUUACGAUCGCAAGUAAGUAGACUCGGGUGUGCCCGUUAUCGCACUAACGUUUAAUAAAUGAACGUGACAAGGUAAUAUCUGUGAAGGUAUUACAAAUAAAGGUGGAACCACGAAGCAAAUUUGCUAUCGUCCUUUGA
rnacentral:ncRNA from 1 species